rnacentral:rRNA from 1 species
GCGAACAAGUGAAAACCACUUCGGGAGGCAGGCCCCGGUGCCGGUCGCCCGAAGCCUGAGGGGAAGGGACGUGGGAAGCCACAACCCCUGCUCCGAAGGCGCCAAAAACAAACCCCGGCGCGAAUUGCGUCAAGGAACCGAUAACGGAUGUGCACCUCCCCGCACCGAAACGGUUAGGCGGGGUGGGUGCGUCGUCGUUCAUACCCUAUGUGAAACGACUCUCGGCAACGGAUAUCUCGGCUCUCGCAUCGAUGAAGAACGUAGCGAAAUGCGAUACUUGGUGUGAAUUGCAGAAUCCCGUGAACCAUCGAGUCUUUGAACGCAAGUUGCGCCCGAAGCCAUCAGGCUGAGGGCACGUCUGCCUGGGUGUCACGCAACGUCGCCAACAAUACCCCUCCCCGAGCCCCGCUGCGGGAGGGCGAGGUACGGCGGAUGCUGGCCUCCCGUGACCUCCCGGUCGCGGUUGGCCCAAAACACAGUUCCCUGGCGAUGGCUGCCACGGCACGCGGUGGUCGGCGGCACACGCUCAUCGAAAACUGCCGUGGGCGAGCCUCGUCUCUGGGAACCGAGGACCCCGA